rnacentral:tRNA from 1 species
GGAGAGGUCGCAUAGUGGUCUAGUGCGUUCGCUUGGAGAGCGAAUGUAGCCGCAAGGUUACCGCGAGUUCAAAUCUCGCCCUCUCCGCCA